GAUGAAGAACGUAGCGAAAUGCGAUAAGUAAUGUGAAUUGCAGAAUUCAGUGAAUCAUCGAAUCUUUGAACGCACAUUGCGCCCGCCAGUAUUCUGGCGGGCAUGCCUGUUCGAGCGUCAUUUCAACCAUCAAGCCCCCGGGCUCGUGUUGGGGACCUGCGGCUGCCGCAGGCCCUGAAAACCAGUGGCGGGCUCGCUAGUCACUCCGAGCGUAGUAGUUACAUCUCGCUCAGGGCGUGCUGCGGGUUCCGGCCGUUAAAAGCCUUUUACCCCAAGGUUGACCUCGGAUCAGGUAGGAAGACCCGCUGAACUUAAGCAUAUCAAUAAGCGGAGGA
rnacentral:misc_RNA from 1 species